GUGAUGAUGUGUUAGUAAAAGUAGUAGUUUGUGAGUUGGUGUGUGUGAUAGUGGUUCCAGAGGCCAUGUGGGCAUCUCGUCGUCAUUCUGGAUGCAGUGCAUCAUGGACCUGACCAGCGCCGCCCACGUGCCACGCCCACCGCUCUGACGCCCAGGCAUCGGCAAAUUUGCAUUAAACCCACCAAGUGAGCUGAGUGGAUGAGUUGGACUGGCAUGUGGCUGUGGAGGCGGAUGAGGUUCGGGAUGAGGAUGAGGAUGCGGAUGAGGAUGCGGAUGCCAUCAGUAUUCCACAGAACGGGAUGAAGAGGACGGGCAGGUGGAGAUUGGAAUAAAGCGAUGCCAGAGGCAAACAGCGCGGAACCGAGCGCCCAUAAAGGGAGCUGGAUCUGGAGAGGAUUCCGCACAUAUGCACAUAUAGGGGCUGGGACUGGAGUGAUGUGGAGUGGAGUGAUGUGGAGUGGAGUGGAGUAGAGUGGAGGGGAUGACGAGGAGCAGGAGAGGCCCGGUGACAAGGCGACAGUCCGAUCCCAAACUGGGAACAGCCAGGCUAGCGACCACAAGGACUUAGCUUGUUCUAAUUAAUUUGUACGUUCAGGCAAAAGUACAAACCAAAAAAAUGUGGCAGCCAGGAACAACAGGACUAAGUGAAUCGAAGGCAGGAGGGACGAGAGGUGCAGGAGCACAUAUGCUGGAUGUCCUGGUGCACAUCCUGCGGCAAUAACUCACGACCACUUUAUGCGCUUAAGUGAUUUCUAAUGCAAACCAAUUUCCGAAAUCAGGCACAAGCACUUGAAGCCAAGGACAUUUCCCCUUCGCCAAAGGACCCAUCCUCCAUCCUCCAUCCUCCUGCCUCAAGCCACCCAAAACAACAGCCCCCAAAAACGUUAUCCCUACGAGGAAAAUCUGAAGUCAGACGGGAUAUGCUCGUACAGUUGAUGUUGCAAGCAGAUGCGGAGGGAGUGAGGAAAGAGGAAUGGAUCGCCUGCCAAAGGACGCGGCCUCCACUUUCGUCUAUCAGGCAAAUGACAGUCGCGUCCUGCCUCGUCCUUGUCCGCCCAAUCACCACCCACCCACCCAACUCCUCCUGUUCCCUGUGUUUCCCGUGUCCCGCGUCCCGUGUCCCGUAGCCAGACGCUGUUUGUCUUCGACUUGGUCCCGGCUUAAUAUCACAUGCAGAACCUACAACUCUGCACAUGAAACGAUGGCGCAAUCUAAAAGCUGGCAGCAAAGAAUUCAGAUUCUGGCUCAAACGGAGCGGAUGGAGUGGGUGUAAGCGGAAAGGAAAUAUGGCCAAAAGAUGAUGAUGAUGAUGGGGAUGCUUCGUUCCACAAAAACAGUCAGCGGGAAAGCGGGAAAACGACAGCAGCAGCAGGCAGCAGGCAGCGGUGGAAAAUCAUAAAGGAAAAUAUUGAAUUUACUGCAAAAAAUGCAAAUUUUUUCCUUUGAGCCAAGCCUGAAAACUUCACUGACUGCCAAAAGUAGAGGGUACCAAUGGGGGUGGUCGACUUUAUCAUGAAUAUGUAACUCUUUCAGACUAUUUAACUUUUA
rnacentral:sRNA from 1 species